ACAAUUAUUAUUGAGCUCUUCCUUCCCCUUUUACCGGGGGGUGGUAGGUUCUCUAACACUUGUGUGCACUGUUUAUUGUCUCUCGGCGUUUUGAGGGUUGGGCAUAAAAAACCCUUUGGCUGUUAAAAGGCUACCCCCGAGCGCCAAUUUUUAAACUUGAUUUUAUAUAUACUAUAAGCCUUUAAUUUUAAAUUUAUAAUUUGAAAA
rnacentral:misc_RNA from 1 species